rnacentral:guide_RNA from 1 species
AAACGCAAAAUAUGGUUACUAUGAACUGAUAGAUUAAUU